UUCUCUGCUGUUGUCCACGUGAGGCUUCUCCAAAAUGUGUGGCUUUGAUGUGAGAUUCACCUGGCGGCAUAGCAAAGACUCCAGGGAGGUCGGAAUUUAUCAGCACAAAAGGAACUGACGUGAAAGGGCCACUAAUGAAGACUUAAAAUUUCUUCUCUUUCUGUGCCAUCAUGUGUUACAAAUUAAUGCAAUCCUCAGAAUGCCAGGAGAUUCUAUUUUUAUUAAGAAAUGCUUGCCUUGCUGUGGGCUGGGUUCUGUUCUGCUCAAUGUGCCUCAUCCUUCAGCCCAGGCUGAAGAGGUAGCAACUUCCCUGGAGAAGCUUUUCUCAUGGGGACAGCACAGACACAAGCAUGCAUGCCCAACUUCCAAGUAUGCCUGAACACUUUGCUUGCAUCAUGCUUGCUAACAUCUCAUUGGCCAAAGUAAGUCACACGACUGAACACAACAUCAACGGAGUAGGAAAAUGUAUUCCUCUAGUGGAGAUGGGGAAAAGGAAGACUACGUUAUGAACAGUAAUUCUACUACAGUGUUGAGAACCAUAUUUAUGUCAAGAGUUAGAUAGUUCUUUUUCUUGGGAAAAAACCCACCUUUGAUUAAGUCAAAUUGUUUCAUUCAUUUAUUUGUUCAUUCAUUAAAAAACAAUUUACUGAA